AGUACCGAGACCAUGACGUACCAAGAGACGUCUAUUGUCUGUAUUCCUUAGCAUCGCAUCAGUAACUGCAAGCUUCUCUGCCAAGGAGGAAUCUGACCAUUGUAACGAGCCAUUACGCUAAUUAGCAGCUGUUCAUCAGUCUACAAGCACCAACCACGUGACCCAGACAAUACGCAGGUUCAAGACACAAGUCAUUUUGGAAAUGCCUGAAGGAACAACCUCCGGCCCAAUCCUAAUCAUGGUCCUAGGCCCAAUCACCCUCCACUGCCACUGUCGAUACGUAUUUCCAUCCCAGGAUAUGUAUAACCUCCACCAUCGCCUGGGCCUGAAAAUUAUCUGGUGGCACCACCCUGCUGAAGUACUCGUAAC